rnacentral:rRNA from 1 species
AGUGAACGCUGGCGGUAGGCCUAACACAUGCAAGUCGAACGGCAGCACAGUAAGAGCUUGCUCUUACGGGUGGCGAGUGGCGGACGGGUGAGGAAUACAUCGGAAUCUACUUUUUCGUGGGGGAUAACGUAGGGAAACUUACGCUAAUACCGCAUACGACCUACGGGUGAAAGCAGGGGAUCUUCGGACCUUGCGCGAUUGAAUGAGCCGAUGUCGGAUUAGCUAGUUGGCGGGGUAAAGGCCCACCAAGGCGACGAUCCGUAGCUGGUCUGAGAGGAUGAUCAGCCACACUGGAACUGAGACACGGUCCAGGCUCCUACGGGAGGCAGCAGUGGGGAAUAUUGGACAAUGGGCGCAAGCCUGAUCCAGCCAUACCGCGUGUGUGAAAAAGGCCUUCGGUUUGUAAAGCCCUUUUGUUGGGAAAGAAAAGCAGCAGGUUAAUACCCCGCUGUUCUGACGGUACCCAAAGAAUAAGCACCGGCUAACUUCGUG